UAUUUUAUUGCAUUACUGGUGUCAUUUUCAAAACGAUCUUUGGUGGGCACCAAACGGAAAAGACCCGAAUUUUUUUUUUUUUUUGAAAAUGCAUGUUUAUCAAA